rnacentral:rRNA from 1 species
CGGACGGGUGAGUAACGCGUGGAUAACCUGCCUUACACUGGGGGAUAACACUUAGAAAUAGGUGCUAAUACCGCAUAAGCGCACAGAGCCGCAUGGCUCAGUGUGAAAAACUUCGGUGGUGUAAGAUGGAUCCGCGUCUGAUUAGCUGGUUGGCGGGGUAGAAGCCCACCAAGGCGACGAUCAGUGGCCGGCCUGAGAGGGUGAACGGCCACAUUGGGACUGAGACACGGCCCAAACUCCUACGGGAGGCAGCAG